UACGUAGGGUGCAAGCGUUAAUCGGAAUUACUGGGCGUAAAGCGUGCGCAGGCGGUUUUGUAAGUCUGUCGUGAAAGCCCCGGGCUUAACCUGGGAAUUGCGAUGGAGACUGCAAGGCUUGAAUCUGGCAGAGGGGGGUAGAAUUCCACGUGCAGCAGUGAAAUGCGUAGAGAUGUGGAGGAACACCGAUGGCGAAGGCAGCCCCCUGGGUCAAGAUUGACGCUCAUGCACGAAAGCGUGGGGAGCAAACAGG
rnacentral:rRNA from 1 species